GUAGGUGGCAAGCGUUGUCCGGAAUUAUUGGGCGUAAAGCGCGCGCAGGCGGUUCUUUAAGUCUGAUGUGAAAGCCCACGGCUCAACCGUGGAGGGUCAUUGGAAACUGGAGAACUUGAGUACAGAAGAGGAAAGCGGAAUUCCACGUGUAGCGGUGAAAUGCGUAGAGAUGUGGAGGAACACCAGUGGCGAAGGCGGCUUUCUGGUCUGUAACUGACGCUGAGGCGCGAAAGCGUGGGGAGCAAACAGGGAUUAGAUACCCUGGUAGUCCACGCCGUAAACGAUGAGUGCUAAGUGUUAGGGGGUUUCCGCCCCCUUAGUACUGCAGCUAACGCAUUAAGCACUCCGCCUGGGGAGUACGGCCGCAAGGCUG
rnacentral:rRNA from 1 species